rnacentral:lncRNA from 1 species
UGUAUAAGUAACUUGAUACAGUUACCAUGUUGCUUUGGCCCUCUAUUCUAGUUAUUUUCAUUUGAGUCAGCUCUAUUGUCAGACUGUCAAAGUAAAUUUUCUUUUACAGUCUUGCUUUAUUAGUAUUCUACUUCUUUGUUGCUUUAUUGUUAUUCUCUUUUUGUUGUUGUUGUUGUUGUUUUUUCAGGUUAUAAACAAAUCUCAAGAUCGGAGACUGUUAGGACUGAUGCUCACCGAAGUCAAAGAAAGACCUCACUCUAGGGAGAAGAUCCUUAUACUACAGUUUAUUUUCUCAAGACUCCUUUUGGAUUACAGAGAUCAUGUUCUUCCUGUAGACUCCUAUGGAAGAAUUUAAAAUGAGUGUACUGUCUGUAGGGUGGAGGUGGACCAAAGACCUGCUUCACCGGAUACUGGCUUCAAAUCACCUUUCAUAUUUUCUUGUUGGGAAGACAACUGUUGGAGAGUCUUCUUGUUAUCAUCAGCAAAAAAUGGAAACAGAUCAAGACAUUAAAAAUGCCACCGUGGCCAGCAGUUAAUGAUGCCCGAGUAAUGCAAGCUUUGGCAAAGGAAUUUUUCAAGACGUGUGCUUCACCAGCCAGGAAUCAGGAAAGACUGAACUAUCCUUUUUGUCUCAGCUGUUUCUUAAAUCAAUGCAACCCCUCCAAAUUAAAGUGAAUUGAAACAGUCAUUGCCUUUUCAACUUAACUGAGUGCUUACUAUGUGUGAAUCACUGUGCAGAAUAGGGAGGGAAAAUGAGGGAGGCAAAUAAGAUGUGGUCCCGACCUUGAAUGUAUUUACAAUUAGUUUCAAGAGACAGUUUUUUUUUGGGGGGGGAGGGUUUCUGCUUCUAAGUGUGUCCCUAAAAUAGGAAACAGUACUGGAGUGGGUAGCCUUUCCCUUCUCCAGGGGAUCUUCCCAACCCAGGAAUCAAACCCAGGUCUCCCACAUUGCAGGCGGAUUCUUUACCAGCUGAGCCACAAGGAAGCCCUAAAUUUCUUUAAUACAAAACAAAACUCUUAAUGUGGGUAACUCAGGGCAUCUUAAUUCCAUUUUUUUGGUCUUCUGAUAGUUCCCAAUUUAUUGAUUUAAUAUACAUUCAGUAGGCUUUAGAAGUAUUAAUACAUUAUAGUUGGAGUAAAUUUGAAUAAAUCCCUUCCCCCUCCUUAGGUGUAGACUGUA